ACUCCUACGGGAGGCAGCAGUGGGGAAUAUUGGACAAUGGGCGAAAGCCUGAUCCAGCAAUGCCGCGUGAGUGAUGAAGGCCUUAGGGUUGUAAAGCUCUUUUACCCGGGAUGAUAAUGACAGUACCGGGAGAAUAAGCUCCGGCUAACUCCGUGCCAGCAGCCGCGGUAAUACGGAGGGAGCUAGCGUUGUUCGGAAUUACUGGGCGUAAAGCGCGCGUAGGCGGCUUUGUAAGUUAGAGGUGAAAGCCCGGGGCUCAACCCCGGAACUGCCUUUAAGACUGCAUCGCUUGAAUCCAGGAGAGGUGAGUGGAAUUCCGAGUGUAGAGGUGAAAUUCGUAGAUAUUCGGAAGAACACCAGUGGCGAAGGCGGCUCACUGGACUGGUAUUGACGCUGAGGUGCGAAAGUGUGGGGAGCAAACAGGAUUAGAUACCCUGGUAGUCCACGCCGUAAACGAUGAUAACUAGCUGUCAGGGCCCAUAGGGUUUUGGUGGCGCAGCUAACGCAUUAAGUUAUCCGCC
rnacentral:rRNA from 1 species